CUCCCUAGCUCUCUCACCUCCCGUUCCGGCCGGCCAGUACUGUCCAGUACCGGCCCUCUCUCUCUCUCUCUCUCUCUCUCUCUCUCUCUAGCUCUCUCUCUCUCUCAGCUCUCGCCACUGUCCCCCGCCACUGCACAGCCCUCGCGUCCGUUCAAGGUACACGUACAAGCUUGCACUACAAAAAUCACUAUAAACAUGGACAAGUCUUGGAUGUCAACACCUAGGGGUACGACACGGUAUAACGAUGGGUGUAGGGCGUUUGUGGCAUUUGCCGUUAGUAAUUGUACGGCCGGCGAUGGAAAAAUUUACUGCCCAUGCAAGUAUUGUCGAAAUAACCAGCGUCACACUCCUGAGUACGUUCUUGCCCACCUGACUGGAGGUCGGGGGAUGAAUCCGGGAUACAAUUUGUGGUAUAUGCACGGUGAGACUACGACUGGU